rnacentral:lncRNA from 1 species
AUUUUUUUGCCUACUACUAAAAAAAAAAAAGAAAUGCUUGAAGAGUGAAGAUUAAAAAAAAAAGAGAGACAUUCUAACUGGCCCUGGCCUUAUUGGGCCGGCCCGAGAUGCAUACGGGCUUAUGACUCAAGUUGGCCCGUUGGGCAAAGUACUCAGGCUUUUUCCGGGCUGGCCUGAUAAGAAGUGAUUCUAUGGUGGCCCGGACCGGUUCAUUAACAACCCUACCCAAAGUACUGGGCUGGGAUAAGUUGGGCCAAAAAAUAAACGAAGAAAAAUAAAGAAAAUUAACAAAAAAAAAAAAAAAAGUGCUGGCCACUGCUAAAACGUACUGGCAUGAGUUUAGGACAAGCUUUCUUUGCUUCCCCUAUAACAUAAAAUUUAUAUACUUCCCCUUAUCCAACUGUCCAUUCUGAAUUGAGGGCUAAGAUUGUCCCAAUCACAAUGUCACGUCUCUCCACUAUUUUAUUUUUAAUUUUUUUCUAUAAAUUAUUUUGACACUAAAUUUUGUAUAUCUAAUCCUCUAUUAAACUCGCACUAACGAAAAAUAUAAAAACAAUAUUUCCA